rnacentral:rRNA from 1 species
UACGUAGGGUGCAAGCGUUAAUCGGAAUUACUGGGCGUAAAGCGCGCGUAGGUGGUUCGUUAAGUUGGAUGUGAAAUCCCCGGGCUCAACCUGGGAACUGCAUUCAAAACUGUCGAGCUAGAGUAUGGUAGAGGGUGGUGGAAUUUCCUGUGUAGCGGUGAAAUGCGUAGAUAUAGGAAGGAACACCAGUGGCGAAGGCGACCACCUGGACUGGUACUGACACUGAGGUGCGAAAGCGUGGGGAGCAAACAGG